rnacentral:misc_RNA from 1 species
CCCGGCUGUCAUUUCUCUCCUUAAAGCUGAAGAUGAGAUCAACAAUUAGUCCCUUGAAGAUUUUGAAGAACCCAUAAGCUUUCUGUACCACCUCCAGCUGACCAUCCCAUCUAAUUUUAUAAUUUUGGGAGCAAUACCAGCAGUGUUACUACCCUUUUCAGGCUCUGCUAUCAUAAUAAUCUGUGUAGGAAGAUUGGCCUGUUUCUUGGAAGCA